CCUCUUUUGUAUUCCGUAAGCGUGAUGACUGGGUGUUCAUGCUCUUAUGUGAGAUGUGCCUCCCUCAAACCUUUCUAUGACAUUGGCAUAUUACCCACCUGAUC